UACGAAGGGUGCAAGCGUUACUCGGAAUUACUGGGCGUAAAGCGUGCGUAGGUGGUUUGUUAAGUCUGAUGUGAAAGCCCUGGGCUCAACCUGGGAAUUGCAUUGGAUACUGGCAGGCUAGAGUGCGGUAGAGGAUGGCGGAAUUCCCGGUGUAGCAGUGAAAUCGCGUAGAGAUCGGGAGGAACAUCUGUGGCGAAGGCGGGCCAUCUGGACCAGCACUGACACUGAGGCACGAAAGCGUGGGGAGCAAACAGG
rnacentral:rRNA from 1 species